rnacentral:tRNA from 1 species
UGGCUAAGCGGUAAAGUGCUUGGCUUCCGAACUGGAGUUCCCGGGUUCGAAUCCUGG